rnacentral:rRNA from 1 species
AGAUUGAACGCUGGCGGCAUGCCUUACACAUGCAAGUCGAACGGCAGCACGGACUUCGGUCUGGUGGCGAGUGGCGAACGGGUGAGUAAUAUAUCGGAACGUACCCUGGAGUGGGGGAUAACGCAGCGAAAGUUGCGCUAAUACCGCAUACGAUCUACGGAUGAAAGUGGGGGCUCGCAAGACCUCAU